GACUACAGGUGUGUGCCACUGCACCCAGCCUGAACACGUUUUUGUCCUCCCAGUAACUGAGGUAUCAAAUGGAUCCUGCCAUCCGUAGGAUCUUCCAGGGCUCCAUAUGUAGUGGGCUUAGUCAGCCACCCUACUUUGACCCUGUCCUCAACCUGUGUUUUCCUUCUCUCCAUCACCAGAUCUCUUCCCUGAAGAACAGGCUGAAAAAGGUCUCCACAACCACUGGGGAUGGUGUGGCCAGAGCGUUCCUCAAGGCCCAGGCUGCUUUCUUCGGUAGCUACCGAAACGCUCUGAAAAUCGAGCCGGUGAGUAGCCUUGGCAUGUCACAGAGCCUGUGUUUGGUCAGGGCUGAGAAGCAUACCUCAGGGGCCACAAGAAAUGCCAUGAUUCUUCUGGUUUCCAGAUUCAUCUAGAAGAGCUUGUGUGUGUUUGUGGUGGGGGACAGUGUACUCCCCUUGCCAUACCUCUCAACACAAGGAGGCUGUGCUAUCAUGUGUGAGACCCUCACUGCUCUGGGGGCUGUUAUGCCCUGUGCACCACCCUAGACAGUAAGCCCCAACCGCGUGUCAGAUGCAGCGCCAGGCCCCUCACACUCACCUGCUCUCCCUGGGGCUUCACAGUGCACCUGUGCAGUAGCGGUGAUCAGCUCCACUUUACAAAUGAGGAAACCAAGACUCAGGGAAGAGAAACAACUUAGCCCGGAAAAGCCAGAUGGCCCCGGAGCCCCUGCUUUCCCACUGGGCCUCGCCACCCCUGUUCUUUCACGGGACC
rnacentral:lncRNA from 1 species